rnacentral:rRNA from 1 species
CGCGUAGGCGGUUUGUUUAGUUAGGCGUGAAAUUCCUGGGCUUAACCUGGGGACUGCGCUUAAUACAGGCAGACUUGAGUUCGGGAAGAGGGUCGUGGAAUUCCCAGUGUAGAGGUGAAAUUCGUAGAUAUUGGGAAGAACACCGGUGGCGAAGGCGGCGACCUGGUCCGAUACUGACGCUGAGGCGCGAAAGCGUGGGGAGCAAACA